CAACAUCCAGUUCCCUCCCCUCCCCUUUCCUCUUUUAGACACAGCGCUUCUCAACCUCCUGUAGUUGGGAGAAGCCACGGGGUGAACUCUGGCCAGUGAAACACGAGCAGAGAAACUCUGCUUCUAGGAAUGAAUUCUGAGAGAAUGAUCAGAGCGGUGUGCAGUGUGCAUCGAAUCAUCGGUUAUAGAAGAGAAACAACCAGAGAAAUGGAACUGUCCACUACUCCUGGAACUUAAAAGUAAUUGGAUAAUCUUCCCAUGCUGGAAGAAAUUUUUUUAUUUGGGUUAUAGACUGCACACCCUCCAACAAAGAAGUGGGCCUAAGAAGGAUGAAGAGAAUUAACAUUCAUUAAGAAUGGUCAUCCAACUGCUAAAGACACAGCACUAAGACCCAGCCCUCAAGGAACUGAUAAUUCAGACAAAUAAUCAGAACGUUGUAAUACUCGAAUGAUAGUCAUAUGAUAACUCACAACUAUGAAUCCCAUGGUUCAA